AUGCACGCUAGCGGCAGGCCUAACACAUGCAAGUCGAGGGAGAAGCCCUUUCGGGGGCAGAAACCGGCGCACGGGUGCGUAACGCGUAUGCAACCUACCUUUCACAGGGGGAUAGCCCGAAGAAAUUUGGAUUAAUACCCCAUAAUAUUAUUGGAUGGCAUCAUUUGAUAAUUAAAACUGCGGUGGUGAAAGAUGGGCAUGCGUCCUAUUAGCUAGUUGGAGUGGUAACGGCACCCCAAGGCUACGAUAGGUAGGGGUCCUGAGAGGGAGAUCCCCCACACUGGUACUGAGACAGGGACCAGACUCCGACGGGAGGCAGCAGUGAGGAAUAUUGGUAAAUGGUCGGAAGACUGAACCAGCCAUGCCGCGUGCAGGAAGAAUGCCUUAUGGGUUGUAAACUGCUUUUAUAUGGGAAGAAUAAGGCGUACGUGUACGUUGAUGACGGUACCAUAUGAAUAAGCAUCGGCUAACUCCGUG
rnacentral:rRNA from 1 species